UAUUUUAGUGCUAAUUUCACUUGGUGGAUCAUGGAAUGAUGGAACUUAGUAUAGUUCCAUGGGUGGAUCUCAUUCAUUAGAUACAUAAGUCAUUAAUAACGGCAAGGCUAAUGGCAAAAAAGCAUGCAUGGACAGUGAUUGUAUUUCAGCCGUUUCCAGAGAUUCACUGGUGAUGGCCAGAGACUGUAGAUGUAUACGACGUAACCACUGCCUGCUACACAAGUAAAUAUCACACCAGUAUUGUGAGGACUAUAGGACGUAACCACUGCCUGCUACACAAGUAAAUAUCACACCAGUACUGCGAGGACUAUAGGACGUAACCACUGCCUGCUACACAAGUAAAUAUCACACCAGUACUGCAAGGAAUAUAGGACGUAACCACUACCUGCUACACAAGUAAAUAUUACACUAGUACUGUGGGUUCAAGAACACCUUGGAGCCCCCCCCCCUCCAGCAAAUAAGACAAAUUUAGUGUGUGACAAAAAUGAGUAACCUAAAUGCAAAGACAUUCCAAUGUAAAGAUCGUACCUUUUUAAAAAUAAUAAGUUAUUCGAAUGGAUAGUUUUAAGGUCAUUGAUGUGAAUGAGUGGGCAUUGCAUCGUAUUGGUUUCAAAAUCAACCGCCGCUAGAAAAGAAAAAACAAACAAACAAACAAACUUUGAAUGGAUGAUUUUGAGGUCAUACAAUGGGAAUGUAUGGGCAUUGGCAGCGUAUUGGUUUCAAAAUCAACCACCGCUGGAAUCCGCUAUCGGAAUAAUUUAAAUAGGCACUCGCUGAACCUCCAAGAAAACAUUUAACAUCUAUAUUUCAUUUAGUAUGAGGAUCCAACUUAGGACUUGUGUGACAGGCUCGAGCUAAAUGGGA